ACAAUUUCCUGUCUCCUCUUGUAUCGUUCCUUCUCUUUCUCUGUAGAUCACUAGUAAAACCCUUCUUCACAGCCUUCAUACACUCAAUAGCACCACCAAACCCUUGUAUUUGCUCUUUCUGGUCUCAAGUUAGCUUACCUAGGGUUAGUUUUGGAGUCUUCUUGAUCCCAAUGGCGGAGGAAGAGGUUGUUGCUCCGGCGGCUAGUCCCGUACCCUCUGAUCACAAGCGCAAGCUUGAAGAUUUAGAGCCUGAAGCUCCUCAUCCGACUGAGACCAAUCCCGAACAGGAAGCUGACCUGAGCGCUGAGCCCGAUGCAGAUAAGGAAGCUGAUGAUGUGGUUGAUGGAGAUUCGCCAGAUGCCAAGCGGCUAAGGGUCGAUGAGAGUAAACCCGAUGGUCUAGCUAGCGAAAAUGGUUUUGAAGGAGCGAAGUCAGAGGAACACGCAAAGGAGAGCGUUGAAGAGCCAGGUGUUGAGAAUGAGAAAGCAGAGGAUGCUGCUCUUCCUCCGUCUGAGGGGGUUCCUGAAACAACAGGUAAAGAAGAAUUCGCUGCAGAUGGUCAUGACACUGUUAAUACCCAACAGGCUUCUGUUGAGGAUUCGAAGACAGAUGAUGCUGAGGAAAAAGAGGAAACUGAGAAACAUUCUGAGGAGGACGAGGAUCCUGCAUCUGACGCUCAAACUACCUCGCGCAAAAUGGAGGUUCCCAAUGAUAAGGUUGGGGUACUUAUUGGAAAGGGUGGAGAUACUAUUCGUUACCUGCAGUAUAAUUCUGGGGCAAAAAUUCAAAUCACAAGGGAUGCUGAUGCUAAUCCUCAAUCCACAACAAGGCCAGUAGAAAUAAUAGGAACUUUAAGUAGUAUAAAGAAGGCUGAGAAGCUCAUUAGUGCUGUCAUAGCAGAGGCUGAUGCUGGUGGUUCCCCCUCCCUUGUAGCUAGGGGCCUACCUAGUGCACAGACAGGUGGAGUGGGAGAACAACUUGAGAUGCAAGUUCCAAAUGAGAAGGUUGGUCUGAUCAUAGGCAGAGGUGGGGACACCAUUAAAGCUCUCCAAGCCAAAUCGGGAGCACGCAUUCAGUUGAUACCUCAACAUCUUCCAGAAGGGGAUGGUUCCAAAGAAAGGACAGUGAGAGUGACUGGUGAUAGAAAGCAAAUUGAGAUGGCUAGAGAAAUGAUAAAGGAUGUUAUGAAUCAGACUGUGAGGUCAUCACCUUACUCCGGCAGUUUCAACCAGCAGCAUUCCUAUCGACCCCGUGGAUCCACUGGUCCAUCAAAUUGGGGUCCGCGAGGCCCUCAUUCAUCACAGCCAAGUCCUUAUGAUUAUCAUCACCGAGGACCUUAUCCUUCUCAAAGUUCACAGUAUCCACCUCCAAGUUAUGGUGGUUAUCCUCCCCAACAAAUGGGCCCAAGAGGUAACUUUGGUUCUGGUUGGGAGCAAAGACCUCCCACCAUGCAGGGGCCAGUUCCGCAUGGUGGAGUUUAUGACUACUAUGGUGGCCAGGGAGGCCAUGUAUCUGAUCACCCAG
rnacentral:misc_RNA from 1 species